rnacentral:rRNA from 1 species
GACGAACGCUGGCGGCAGGCUUAACACAUGCAAGUCGAGCGCACCUUCGGGUGAGCGGCGGACGGGUGAGUAACGCGUGGGAACGUGCCCUUUGGUACGGGAUAACUGAGGGAAACUUCAGCUAAUACCGUAUGUGCCCUACGGGGGAAAGAUUUAUCGCCAUUGGAGCGGCCCGCGUUGGAUUAGGUAGUUGGUGAGGUAAAGGCUCACCAAGCCUACGAUCCAUAGCUGGUCUGAGAGGAUGAUCAGCCACACUGGGACUGAGACACGGCCCAGACUCCUACGGGAGGCAGCAGUAGGGAAUCUUGCGCAAUGGGCGAAAGCCUGACGCAGCCAUGCCGCGUGAAUGAUGAAGGUCUUAGGAUUGUAAAAUUCUUUCACCGGGGAAGAUAAUGACGGUACCCGGAGAAGAAGCCCCGGCUAACUUCGUGCCAGCAGCCGCCGUAAGAC